rfam:Aspergillus niger DNA, contig: scaffold669_003, strain: An76, whole genome shotgun sequence.
UCCUCGCUCAAAGAAUCGCAUUCAAAGCUCACACACAGAGAGCAGUCUUCACGACUCUCUCUUUCCCCCCUCAGCUUUGGGAGAAAGUCCCCGGACAUCCUGACUGUCUAAACGUCCUCUUGUAGGGCCCAGUCAGGCAAUGCGGAAACGCGCCGCCAUAGAAGCAAUUCGAUAGCGGCUUAUACGCCCUAUUCCCCUCCUAGUGUUUGUCUCUGUACCCGAUCACUUGUCACCUUAUGGUGGCUUGUGGGUAACAAUGGUUGGUGCGGGACAGUGCUGGAGAGGGGGUUUCAUUUGGGUUGCCUUUCGUCGUGUUUGGAUAGUCAUGCGAUUGCCCGUCCUAUAUGUUUCUUCGAGCCGACCUCUCACGUCUGAAAAUAUGUCGGGGAGCGUUAGUCGGGAAAUAUUUAGGGGGUAACUCAAUGGGGCUCAUUCUUGAGGCGAGG